CAGAAGCAGUUGAGAGUUUCCUGAUUCUGAGGGGCCUGCAGGAAGGUGUUUAUGCCCUGAUACUGUCUUGGAGGGAAAGUGUAGCUGGGGAGAAGCAGACUCAUAAAGCAGGCCUGGGAUAUGAGAGACUCCAAGGAAGAAAUUCCAAGGGUCAGUGGCUUGGGGGGAGCCAGGCCUUCAGAGAGGCAGGGCUCUGUAAUAGAGUGAGGAAGAACUUUGCAGAGCCCAGGAGAGGGGUGAAAAGCCUGUGCAGCACUGGUGCCAGGUCAUUGUUCCUUUGAGUUUGGAUGAUGUUACCCCAGAUGGGAUAGGACUCAUAGUGUGACCCAGCUGGAGAGCCAUGUUACUGCACAGACCACUGAAAUCUGGAGGAGGGUAAGACGGAGAAGCUGCAACACCAGGUUUUCCACAAGGAGGUGCUCUGGGAUGGGGAAAAUUACAUGUCCAGUGAAUUUGGGUGUUGGAGCAACAUGCUUCCUUCUUCCUGCAUGAGACUAUAAACAUGAGCAAUGAAUACGAGAUUGCCACAUCUGCUCUUUUAUCAUCUUCACCGACUUCCGCUUCUGAUCCUACUUGGGGCCUGGAAGUACAUUUCCCAGAAACGCAAAAUAAUAGCGGGAAAGGUUAACUGAACGCUUUUGAACUUCCAGAAAUUCUGGUUUAGGCUCUGUGUAAGCUUUGGGUCAAAUGUUUGGGGACCUCUGUAUGUAUUUUAUCUGAAGUAGUCCAAUGAUUAUG